rnacentral:rRNA from 1 species
UACGGAGGGUGCAAGCGUUAUCCGGAUUUACUGGGCUUAAAGGGUGCGUAGGCGGGUAGGAAAGUCAGUGGUGAAAUCUUCGGGCUUAACCCGGAAACUGCCAUUGAUACUAUUUAUCUUGAAUACUUUGGAGGUAAGCGGAAUAUGUCAUGUAGCGGUGAAAUGCUUAGAUAUGACAUAGAACACCAAUGGCGAAGGCAGCUUACUGGACAGUUAUUGACACUGAGGCGCGAAAGCGUGGGGAGCAAACAGG